rnacentral:rRNA from 1 species
CCAUUAGAUGUUCUGGGCUGCACGCGUGCUACACUGAUUACUUCAACAAGUGUUUUAACUGGAGAGUUCGCGUAAUCCUGAAAUGUUAUCGUGAUGGGAGUAGAGUAUUGUAUUUGUUAAUCUUUAACGAGGAAUUCCUAGUAAGUGUAGGUUUAUAAGUUGUUCUGAUUACGUCCCUGCCCUUUGUACACACCGCCCGUCGCUCCUACCGAUUGAUUGAUCCGGUGAAUUACAUAGAAUUUUGCGUUUUACAUGACGGAAGAUGAAGUGUUUUAAACCUUAUCAUUUAGAGGAAGGAGAAGUCGUAACA